GACAUAGGUUGCGAACGUUAUCCGGAAUUAUUGGGCGUAAAGGAUGCGUAGAUGGUUUGAUAAGUUAUCAGUGGCAAAAUCGGGGGCUCAACCUCGUGGAAGUUGGUAAUACUGUCAUACUCGAGUGCAGGAGAAGUUAACGGAACUCUAUAUGGAGCGGUAAAUGUGACGAUAUAUAGAAGAACACCAAUAAGGCGAAGGCAGUUUAACUAUUUCUGUUUACUGACAUUUUGAGGCAUGAAAAGCGUGGGGAGCAAAACGG
rnacentral:rRNA from 1 species